AAAAACCAAAAAAAAUACCCCGAAGUCGAGGAAACUCCUCCCUGUAGUUUGCUCGGAGAGGCUCGGCGGUGGGGAUGUGCUUGGGUUGGGACCCACGGAGCUCACGAUGGAAGGAGAGCCCUGCUGCGAGCGGCGUGGAGAGCCCAGUAAGGAACAGGUUGAGGAGCACCAGGCCAAUGGAGGGAAAUGGAGGAGAAACUGGCUGUAAACAAAGGGAGCGUGACUAGACUAGCCUGGCUCCGGCACUCUGCUGAAGGGAGAACAAAAAAUAAACUGCAGAAGGAGGGAAAAGUCAAUUAUGUUUUCAGCUGGCUGGAGCAGAGUUCGGUUUUGCAGGCAGUCCUGCAAAGGGAGGCUCUAGGAAGCGUGCUGGGAUCGGGGAUUUGGGGCUGUGCAAACAGGCGUCAGCGGAGCUGUUGGCUCAGCAUCUGUCCCACAGCAAGCGAUGCUCCUGUUGUCGAGAGAAGAUGAUCCCCUGGGCUGGCCUGGCUUGUGGCUGGAGGGACCUGGAGGACAUCUGUCCCCUCGCUCUCUUGAUCUUUGGAAGACAGGGGCUAGUUCAUGCUCUCAUUUAGAAACGCAGUUUCCAAAUUGCUUCAUCUUUUGAUAUUUGAAGAGUUUGGGUUUAAGGUUUGGGGCGGCUUGCUCUAAGGCUUUUUUUCUGUAAUACCAAGUUUUAUGUAUUUUCCACGGUACGUCGGAAAAAUCGUAAGCACAAACUGCGGCUCGUGCUUCUGCGGGCCCGCGAGGACCGGUGGGAGCAAACGAUGUGCUCCCCACUGUGCUCUGCUUCUGCUCGGGGACACCGGCUGUGCCCGCACUUCUGUGCCCUUUGGGGAUGAAAUUGUUGAGAUUAACCAGCUGAAGUUAACAAACUCUGGAAUCCAACAAACCCCAAUGAAUCACCAGGAGCAAACACUGCUCCGUGGCUGUCAGCCCUCUGAAGGGAACUCAUUGACUCACUAAAAUCUCAGCGAUGCUCCCGUGAUGCCAGCGCUACCUGGGCUUUGCCGGCACGGCCGCCAGCCCAGCGUCGCUUCCCUGCUCAGCCGUGGCUUGGAGUCCCGUGGGAGCAGGGAGGUGAUCCCGCUGGAGCUCGUCUCCAUCCCACACACAUCCCUCAGCAUCUCACCAUAUUCUGGUUUCUUGGUUCGUUGCUUUUGCUGCCGGACUGUACCCGGACUGUGUGCAGCCUUGGGCUGGAAGGUGAGCACGGCUUCCCACCCGGAGCCUCAGCAGGGCUCAUCCGAGCAGAUUGAAACGGGUGGACGUGCUCCUAAAAUUAACCUGCAAAAACUGCUUUGAUAGGACACUGACAGCCAAAGCGGAAUCAAAUUAUCGUUUGGAAUUACCAUGAGAUAAUUGGCCUCAUUUGCUAUUUUAAGGUGUUAAAAAAAAGGCUCCCUCUCCCAGACAACUGCAAUGGAGAAAUAUUCAGGCGUAGAUGAUGUCCCAAAACAUAUCAUUAAAGCUUUAAAUAAAUGUAUGAUGACAUCUCAUCUUAAGAAAGACUUCCUUUGUAUCUCAGAUAGGAACCAGCCAGGUCAUUUUCAAAGUCAUUUUUUAAAGAACAAAAGAUAUUCCUCUUGUUUUUCCAGACAUGCAACUUCAAAUAUUUGGAGAUGUAAAUAUGUAAUUUGAAUUCUUUCACACAUUGUGGAUUUAAAAAUCAUCUUCCUUUGAGAUGCCUCGUGCUUGCCAAAAGGAUUAAACGCCAAGGCAGCUACACAGCAUUAUAAAGAAAAUAAAAAUAUGAAUUGGAGGAGCCAAGUUCUGCAUUUGCUGCUUCACUAUCGCGAUGUGUCUGAGCACAUGGCGGCACGGACACACCAGAAGCACGUCCCACAGCUCUGGUCCCAUUCCCAGUCCAGCUGGUCCGGUCGGGGCUCAGAGCACCAGGUCCAGCUUCUCCCUCUUUAGGAGGGACAAUGUGGAUGGUGACCAAGACGUGAAACCCUUGCCCAGCGCGUGGGGUCCAAGAAGGCUCCGACUCUGCUCCCCGUGCUGCACAGGUACCUGCUCUUGCCCAAAGUCCUGCUGAUGGAAACCAACCCUUGGAGCCUAAAAAAUUCUGUAACAAGCAGAGCUUGUGGAGAAAGGUGGUGGUGACCUGCAGGCAGCGCAGCACAUGGGCAGGGCUGCCUGUUCUCACCGCUGCCUGGACGUCCCCUGCGGAGCGGGUGACACGGGGCUGUUUGUCUUGGACGUGCUGGGAUGGACUGGAAAACAGCAUUGACCUCUUAAGCAACACUGGGGGUUUUUGGCCGACCAGCCGGUG